rnacentral:rRNA from 1 species
AUUGAACGCUGGCGGCAGGCCUAACACAUGCAAGUCGAGCGGAGCGGCCGACGGGCGAGUAAUGCCUAGGUAUCUGCCUGGUCGUGGGGGAUAACGUCCGGAAACGGGCGCUAAUACCGCAUACUAUCAGACGAGUCUAGGUGGGAUUAGCUAGCUGGUGGGGUAAAGGCUUACCAAGGCGACGAGCCGUACCUGGUCUGAGAGGAUGAUCAGUCACACUGGAACUGAGACACGGUCCAGACUCCUACGGGAGGCAGCAGUGGGGAAUAUUGCACAAUGGGCGAAAGCCUGAUGCAGCCAUGCCGCGUGUGUGAAGAAGGUCUUCGGAUUGUAAAGCACUUUAAGUUGGGAGGCGUUACCGACAGAAGAAGCACCGGCUAACUUCGUGCCAGCAGCCGCGGUAAUAC